AUUGAACGCUGGCGGCAGGCCUAACACAUGCAAGUCGAACGGUAACAGGAAGAAGCUUGCUUCUUUGCUGACGAGUGGCGGACGGGUGAGUAAUGUCUGGGAAACUGCCUGAUGGAGGGGGAUAACUACUGGAAACGGUAGCUAAUACCGCAUAACGUCGCAAGACCAAAAAGGGGGACCUUCGGGCCUCUUGCCAUCGGAUGUGCCCAGAUGGGAUUAGCUAGUAGGUGGGGUAACGGCCCACCUAGGCGACGAUCCCUAGCUGGUCUGAGAGGAUGACCAGCCACACUGGAACGGAGACACGGUCCAGACUCCUACGGGAGGCAGCAGUGGGGAAUAUUGCACAAUGGGCGCAAGCCUGAUGCAGCCAUGCCGCGUGUAUGAAGAAGGCCUUCGGGUUGUAAAGUACUUUCAGCGGUGAGGAAGGGAGUAAAGUUAAUACCUUUGCUCAUUGACGUUACCCGCAGAAGAAGCACCGGCUAACUCCGUG
rnacentral:rRNA from 1 species